rnacentral:rRNA from 1 species
CCUACGGGAGGCAGCAGUAGGGAAUCUUUCACAAUGGGCGAAAGCCGGAUGGAGCAACGCCGCGUGCAGGCUGAAGGCCUUCGGGUUGUAAACUGCUUUUAUAAGCGAGAAAUAUGAUGGUAACUUAUGAAUAAGGAUCGGCUAACUACGUGCCAGAAGCCGCGGUCAUACGUAGGAUCCGAGCAUUAUUCGGAGUGACUGGGGGUAACAAGUUGCGUAGGUAGCAUAAUAAGUAGCUAGUGAAAUCUGGUGGCUCAACCAUUCAGACGAUUAGGGAAACUGUUAAGCUCGAGACCGUUAGGGGUAAGUGGAAUUUCUAGUGUAGGAGUGAAAUCCGUAGAUAUUAGAAGGAACACCAAUAGCGUAGGCAGGUUACUGGGACGGUUCUGACACUAAGGCACGAAAGCGUAGGGAGCAAACGGGAUUAGAUACCCGGGUAGUC